rnacentral:rRNA from 1 species
AGCGAACGCUGGCGGUAGGCCUAAUACAUGCAAGUCGAGCGCCCGUAGCAAUACGGGAGCGGCAGACGGGUGAGUAACACGUGGGAACGUACCCUUCGGUUCGGAAUAACCCAGGGAAACUUGGGUUAAUACCGGAUACGCCCUUACGGGGAAAGAUUUAUUGCCGAAGGAUCGGCCCGCGUCCGAUUAGCUAGUUGGUGGGGUAAUGGCCCACCAAGGCGACGAUCGGUAGCUGGUCUGAGAGGAUGAUCAGCCACACUGGGACUGAGACACGGCCCAGACUCCUACGGGAGGCAGCAGUGGGGAAUUUUGGACAAUGGGGGCAACCCUGAUCCAGCCAUGCCGCGUGCGGGAAGAAGGCCU